ACGUAGGGUGCGAGCGUUAAUCGGAAUUACUGGGCGUAAAGCGUGCGCAGGCGGUUCGCUAAGACAGGGGUGAAAUCCCCGGGCUUAACCUGGGAACUGCCCUUGUGACUGGAAGGCUGGAGUGCGGCAGAGGGGGAUGGAAUUCCGCGUGUAGCAGUGAAAUGCGUAGAGAUGUGGAGGAACACCGAUGGCGAAGGCAGCCCCCUGGGCCGAUACUGACGCUCAUGCACGAAAGCGUGGGGAGCAAACAG
rnacentral:rRNA from 1 species